rnacentral:rRNA from 1 species
GACCAUCUCCCAACCCUAAAUACUCUCUAGUGACCGAUAGUGAACCAGUACCGUGAGGGAAAGGUGAAAAGCACCCCGGGAGGGGAGUGAAAUAGAACCUGAAACCGUGUGCCUACAACAAGUUCGAGCCCGUUAAUGGGUGAGAGCGUGCCUUUUGUAGAAUGAACCGGCGAGUUACGAUAUGAUGCGAGGUUAAGUUGAAGAGACGGAGCCGCAGGGAAACCGAGUCUUAAUAGGGCGACUUAGUAUCAUGUUGUAGACCCGAAACCAUGUGACCUACCCAUGAGCAGGUUGAAGGUGCGGUAAGACGCACUGGAGGACCGAACCAGGGCACGUUGAAAAGUGCUUGGAUGACUUGUGGGUAGCGGAGAAAUUCCAAACGAACUUGGAGAUAGCUGGUUCUCUCCGAAAUAGCUUUAGGGCUAGCGUCGAUGUUAAGUCUCUUGG